rnacentral:rRNA from 1 species
GACGAACGCUGGCGGCGUGCUUAACACAUGCAAGUCGAACGGAAAGGCCCUGCUUUUGUGGGGUGCUCGAGUGGCGAACGGGUGAGUAACACGUGAGUAACCUGCCCUUGACUUUGGGAUAACUUCAGGAAACUGGGGCUAAUACCGGAUAGGAGCUCCUGCUGCAUGGUGGGGGUUGGAAAGUUUCGGCGGUUGGGGAUGGACUCGCGGCUUAUCAGCUUGUUGGUGGGGUAGUGGCUUACCAAGGCUUUGACGGGUAGCCGGCCUGAGAGGGUUACCGGCGACAUUGGGACUGGGAUACGGACCAGACUCCUACGGGAGGCAGCAGUGGGGAAUAUUGCACAAUGGGCGGAAGCCUGAUGCAGCAACGCCGCGUGCGGGAUGACGGCCUUCGGGUUGUAAACCGCUUUCGCCUGUGGCGAAGCGUGAGUGACGGUAAUGGGUAAAGAAGCACCGGCUAACUACGUG